GCGUAAGGUACCCACUUCGUCUCAAAUCGCGUCUAAGAACCCUAGGAGGAGAUGUUUGUUCCCGGCGGCGUGCUGGGGAGAAGGAGGUCUUGCCGACCGGAAAGGGGGGAGGAGGCGCAGCCGGGCCGUCGCGUCGAGGCCCCCGGCUUAUGCGCGCAGGAGGAGCCAAUUCAGGAGGGGUACCGCACUUGCCUCCUCGCGCCGGUCGGCCGGUGGUCAUUUGGCCGUGGCGUCCAUCCCCCGACGGAUGUCGCGCUGGAGGGGACGGCCGGGCAGGGAGACAAGUCAGCGCCAGGGCGUGGCGUCCAGGCCGUUGUCUUAAAGGAGGGGGACGGGGAUGCGGCGCGGCCGUGGCGUUCAGCCAUCGGGUCCCUUGGGCGGCGAUGGCGCACGGUCUAGGCGUCCAGCCGUUGGCUCCAUGCGGUGGCGUUGUGGAGCAACGGUAGGAGCGACCGUUGACUCCAUGGACGGAUGGGCUCCGAGGGGUGGGGCAAAGGUAGGAGCAGCUCUGGAAGCAAGGUGGUCAGCUCCAUCGACGGAUGCACGGGACCUGCACCAGUACGAGCAUCCACAAGUUCAGCAAGAGCGUGUACCUGCCCCUACAUUGGCUCUUCCUGAUAAACUUGGACUAAGAUGCCCAGGCAGGCUCAGAAUCAGGCAAUGUCCUGAACAAAAUACUUUGGUUCAUGACACUGCUCUUUUACCUGGAAGUGAUGUUGAUGUCUGGCAGUUCAGCGGCUGGUGGGAAGGAAUAGUUGUCAGUACAUAUUCCGGUUUAUCUUUUUUUUUUUGCGAGGCUAUUCCGGUUUAUCUGAUAGUCUGCAAAUAUAUUUCCCAGGAGCCUUUUCUUACUGAAAUGAUGUUUUCCCGUACUUAACUUUGUCUUCAUAGAAUGAUGGUGAAAUACACAAGAGAGUAAAAUCUAAUAUGGAAGAUCUGAGGAACAAAACAAAAGCGAGAUCCUAACAACAAGAACAGAGUGUUUGUAUUCAAAACAAAUGUGCAUGGAAGGCUCAUCCGUGUAUACCGAAUAAAACAUAAUUGUUCCAAGCAAACGUGAGUGGUAUUUAGUAAAUAAAUCUCACUCUUAAACCAACUCUAUGAAGUGUGUGUACUAGUUAUUGAAAUUUAGAAGUGUGUACUAGUUAUUGCAACAUGUGUAAAUUUUUUUGGAUAGUUUUUUCCCUUCCAGUACUCUAUGAACCAAAGCACAAACAGGCUGCAAGAGCUCCUGCAGCAAGUACCAAGCAGCAACAGCAAACUUACUGUGACAUAUAAAAUAUCAAUGUGCCCGAGGGCGGCUGUAGUUUAUCAAUUCGGGAGGACCUUCUCAACAAAUAUGCUGAAGAGACGCUAAACUACUGCACUGCGGCUGCGGCUUCAAACAGUACUCUGCAUGAUGCAUUGGAUUCAUCAGCAAACCUUGUGAAGGAGAAGGAAC